rnacentral:rRNA from 1 species
GUAAGUUAUUAAGGGCACACGGUGGAUGCCUUGGCAUUAAGAGCCGAUGAAGGACGUGUGAAUCUGCGAUAAGCCUCGGGGAGCCGAUAACUGGGCGUUGAUCCGAGGAUUUCCGAAUGGGGAAACCUGGCUCAUCUUCAUGGUGAGUUACCGCCAGCUGAAUGUAUAGGCUGGUUGGGGGGAACGCGGGGAAGUGAAACAUCUCAGUACCCGCAGGAAGAGAAAAUAAAGUAAUGAUUCUGUGAGUAGUGGCGAGCGAAAGCGGAUGAGGCUAAACCGAUCAUGUGUGAUAGCCGGCGGGCGUUGCAUGGUCGGGGUUGUGGGACACGUCACUCAGUUCUGCCGGACUGGGGCGGUUACAGCGCAUCAUAGUCGAACCGGUUUGAAAGCCGGGCCGUAGUGGGUGCCAGCCCCGUAGACGAAAUGGUGUUAUGGCCGGAUGUGUAUCCCAAGUAGCACGGGGCCCGAGAAAUCCCGUGUGAAUCUGUCAGGACCACCUGAUAAGCCUAAAUACUCCCAGAUGACCGAUAGCGGACAAGUACCGUGAGGGAAAGGUGAAAAGCACCCCGAUGAGGGGAGUGAAACAGUACCUGAAACCGGAUGCUUACAAGCAGUUGGAGCCUCUUUAGGGGGUGACAGCGUACCUCUUGCAUAAUGGGUCAGUGACUUAAUGUACCAUGCGAGCUUAAGCCGUUAGGUGUAGGCGCAGCGAAAGCGAGUCUGAAUAGGGCGACAGAGUAUGGUGUAUUAGACCCGAAACCCGGCGAUCUAGGCAUGACCAGGUUGAAGGUGCGGUAACACGCACUGGAGGUCCGAACCGAUUAACGUUGAAAAGUUACCGGAUGAGUUGUGUUUAGGGGUGAAAGGCCAAUCAAGCCGGGAAAUAGCUGGUUCUCCGCGAAAACUAUUGAGGUAGUGCCUCGGAUGGACACCCUAGGGGGUAGAGCACUGGAUGGAUGCGGGGGUCGCGAGACCUACCAACUCUAACCAAACUCCGAAUACCUAGGAGUGAUAUCCGGGAGACAGACGGCGGGUGCUAAGGUCCGUCGUCAAAAGGGAAACAGCCCUGACCUACAGCUAAGGUCCCCAAGUCAUCACUAAGUGGGAAAGCAUGUGGAACUUCCAAAACAACCAGGAGGUUGGCUUAGAAGCAGCCACCCUUUAAAGAAAGCGUAAUAGCUCACUGAUCGAGUCGUCCUGCGCGGAAGAUGUAACGGGGCUAAGCAUAUAACCGAAGCUGCGGAUCACAGCAAUGUGAUGGUAGGAGAGCGUUCUGUAAGCCUGUGAAGGUGAGUUGAGAAGCUUGCUGGAGGUAUCAGAAGUGCGAAUGCUGACAUGAGUAACGACAAUGGGUGUGAAAAACACCCACGCCGAAAGACCAAGGUUUCCUGCGCAACGUUAAUCGACGCAGGGUUAGUCGGUCCCUAAGGCGAGGCUGAAAAGCGUAGUCGAUGGAAAACAGGUUAAUAUUCCUGUACUUCUGGUUAUUGCGAUGGAGGGACGGAGAAGGCUAGGCCAGCUUGGCGUUGGUUGUCCAAGUUUAAGGUGGUAGGCUGGAAUCUUAGGUAAAUCCGGGAUUCUAAGGCCGAGAGCUGAUGACGAGUUGUCUUUUAGACGACGAAGUGGUUGAUGCCAUGCUUCCAAGAAAAGCUUCUAAGCUUCAGGUAACCAGGAACCGUACCCCAAACCGACACAGGUGGUCAGGUAGAGAAUACCAAGGAGAUCGAGAGAAUCGUGGUUAAGGAACUCGGCAAAAUGCCCCCGUAACUUCGGGAGAAGGGGGGCCGGACACGUGACCGGAUUUACUCCGUGAGCGUUGAAGGCCGCAGAGACCAGUGGGAAGCGACUGUUUACUAAAAACACAGGUCCGUGCGAAGUCGCAAGACGAUGUAUACGGACUGACGCCUGCCCGGUGCUGGAAGGUUAAUUGAUGGGGUCAGCCGCAAGGCGAAGCUCUUGAUCGAAGCCCCAGUAAACGGCGGCCGUAACAAUAACGGUCCUAAGGUAGCGAAAUUCCUUGUCGGGUAAGUUCCGACCUGCACGAAUGGCGUAACGAUGGCCACACUGUCUCCUCCCGAGACUCAGCGAAGUUGAAAUGUUUGUGAUGAUGCAAUCUACCCGUGGCUAGACGGAAAGACCCCAUGAACCUUUACUGUAGCUUUGCAUUGGACUUUGAACCAAUCUGUGUAGGAUAGGUGGGAGGCUUUGAAGCGGGGACGCCAGUUCUCGUGGAGCCAACCUUGAAAUACCACCCUGGUUCAUUUGAGGUUCUAACCUUGGUCCGUUAUCCGGAUCGGGGACAGUGCAUGGUAGGCAGUUUGACUGGGGCGGUCUCCUCCUAAAGUGUAACGGAGGAGUUCGAAGGUACGCUAGUUACGGUCGGACAUCGUGACGAUAGUGCAAUGGCAUAAGCGUGCUUAACUGCGAGACUGACAAGUCGAGCAGAUGCGAAAGCAGGACAUAGUGAUCCGGUGGUUCUGUAUGGAAGGGCCAUCGCUCAACGGAUAAAAGGUACUCUGGGGAUAACAGGCUGAUACCGCCCAAGAGUUCAUAUCGACGGCGGUGUUUGGCACCUCGAUGUCGGCUCAUCACAUCCUGGGGCUGGAGCAGGUCCCAAGGGUUUGGCUGUUCGCCAAUUAAAGUGGUACGUGAGCUGGGUUCAGAACGUCGCGAGACAGUUUGGUCCCUAUCUGCCGUGGGCGUCGAAAUUUGAGAGGAGUUGACCCUAGUACGAGAGGACCGGGUUGAACGUACCUCUGGUGUACCUGUCGUCGUGCCAACGGCGCAGCAGGGUAGCUAUGUACGGACGGGAUAACCGCUGAAGGCAUCUAAGCGGGAAACCCACCUCAAAACGAGGUCUCCCUUGAGGGCCGUGGAAGACGACCACGUCGAUAGGCCGGGGGUGCAAGCGCAC